ACUCCUACGGGAGGCAGCAGUGGGGAAUAUUGCACAAUGGGCGCAAGCCUGAUGCAGCCAUGCCGCGUGUGUGAAGAGGCUUCGGUUGUAAGCACUUUCAGUCGUGAGGAAGGUAGUGUAGUUAAUAGCUGCAUAUUUGACGUUAGCGACAGAAGAAGCACCGGGCUAACUCCGUGCCAGCAGCCGCGGUAAUACGGAGGGUGCGAGCGUUAAUCGGAAUUACUGGGCGUAAAGCGCAUGCAGGUGGUUUGUUAAGUCAGAUGUGAAAGCCCGGGGCUCAACCUCGGAAUUGCAUUUGAAACUGGCGGGCUAGAGUACUGUAGAGGGGGGUAGAAUUUCAGGUGUAGCGGUGAAAUGCGUAGAGAUCUGAAGGAAUACCGGUGGCGAAGGCGGCCCCCCUGGACAGAUACUGACACUCAGAUGCGAAAGCGUGGGGAGCAAACAGGAUUAGAUACCCUGGUAGCUACGAGU
rnacentral:rRNA from 1 species